GAAUAUCUGUAAAAUGCCUCAUCUACAAUGCUACCGGUACCAAUCUGAGUUUCGUCACGUACAAGAAUUGGAUUGGCAGUAUCUUUGAUACACCCUACCCAUCGGAUAUUCAGAAUGGACAAUGGGGGGCAUUUCUCCACGUCAAACCAAGAGCAGCUGCGAAAGGUUCAACUGCCGCUGUUGUGUAUCGUAGCAGGAUCCCGUCCAGCAGCAGCUCCUGCGACUGGUUAUUCACUUGGUCUGUCCCAUUCAUUGGCAACAACGGGGUAAAUAAUGUGCUUACCUUCAUAUAUUCUAUCUUACUUAUUUCUCUUGGUUCAUACUCCGAUUAUUUGUUACUAUGAGCUAGAAUGACUAAUCUAUUAAGAACACAUAAAUUUAUAUGCAAUCAAAAGUUGAAGCUGGAGUUUAAUUAGUUGGCAAAUCAUGCAUUUACGGAGCUGCAGAUGAUAAUCUUCAAUUCCUAAAUAGUUGCAAUCCACUACCUAUUUUUCCUUCUCAUGCAACCAUGCUACAUCAUCAAGUCAUGCGUUUAGUCAUAAGUAUUUAUUUUUUCUCAUGUAACCAUGCCACAUCAUCAAGUCAUGCAUGUGGUCAUAAGUUCUAAUGUGUGCACUAAUCUACACAUUGUUCCACUAAUUUUUGUUAUGGGCAUACGCGGUAUAUACUUUAGAGCAAAUAUAUGUAGAUCAUGUUACACUUUUUUACGCAUCUUUUGUCAAAUGUUUCAUAUGAGUUAUUGUUCUUAAAAUAUAAAACGAGAGCAAUCCUAACAUAUUUUAGCAAUAGUUUUUGUUUUUCAACACCUAUUUAUACAUCUGUUUAUCAUGUUUCCCGCAGCAACACGCGGGGCGUCGUCUAGUUAAUUUAACAAAAAUGAUAUAAAAUCUUGUCUGGUUUGUCUUGAGAAGUACACCAAAAAUCGGAUUCCUAAAUAAUUUUAAGAAAAUAUUAAUGAUUUAAAAUAUGGAUUGACAAGCAUGCCCAUUUACAUUGUGAAUCUAUAUUUAGGAACAAUGGAUAUGUUCGUAUUUUCCUCUGAAAUCAAUUGAACUAAAACUCGUACAGAUAAGCAAACUAAUCUGAACUACUUCGUGUAUUUAGGGACAAGGGAAUAUCUCAAAAUCUACUAGCACACAUUCUUAUAUUUUAUGUAUGCAGGUGUACACGGAAAUCCGUGAGCAAGGACACUUCCCUAAGCACUGGGAUUAUAUCUACAAUGUGAGGCUGGCAAAUUCAAAUCUCCACUCAACUGAUAGCAACUACGGAUAUGUUUCGAGGGCUAACAUCGGUGAAGGCACUACCAUGAACGCACGUGCAGUUUUCCAGCUUCCCUACUAGAUCUCAUUGCUAGCUGCAUGCUGCAGGGAGUGGUUAUAGUGGUCUUCAAAGCCGUUGCAAGUCCAUUUCCUUGCUGUCCUUGGGUUUUCGGUUGUCCGCGAAUAAUAGAUGGAAGGAGAUGACAAAAAAAGUAUAUUGUGUACUUUCUUCUAUCAAGUUGUUACGUAUCAAGUUGUACUUGUUUUGUACCGGCUAUUUGUUUCCUUAAUAAGUAUCAGAUAUAAGGCACUCUUCUGAGAGUCUUUUCUCAGCAGGGGAAUUAAAUUGAAACUGAAAUUAAGAUAUUAAUGCUAGAAUAAAGCAUCACAAGGAAAGUUAUAAUGACAAUUAGUUGUGGAACCUCAACCCCGACAUAAAAAUGGAAAACCGAAAACUGAAGCCAUAAAGGCCGAGACCGAACCCAUAAAUACCGAACUUGAGAAGACCGAAUAAAAAUCGGUCUACAACCGAAUUUAAAUACGUUCAAAUCGGUCCUCUACUCUGUAGGACCGAAUUGUCCAUAUAGACUGAUUUAAUAGCCCACGAACACAAUAUCCAUGCCAUGUUUACCUUAAGGCCUCAUAAGGCCCAAUCUGUAUGCCCAAUCCUCAUAGUCCUUGUGAGUAGACGACCUCACUAGUGAGGCACCAUCAGUCGACUGCGUCUUCUUUCUCUCAUUCCUCCCCUUCUCUUCCAGUGACGAACCCUAGCACCAACGCUGAAGUAUCUGGCCUCGUGACGACCGUCGACCCAUGAGGACCCUUUACAUGAGGUGCUCCCCUCACUUGUGAACCUUCAUCACAAGUCAUGGCCCUGACCGGUAAGGGUGGACAUAGUUCUAGUCGGCCUGGUCCAUGAUCGAGCCAUUAACUGGACUGGUUGUCGGUGAUAUGCAUCAGACCAAGUCAUGGCGGCGCUCUCGAAUCCGCUUCAAGGGCCCCCCUGCUUGUCGUCAUGGGCACGGUGCUCAUGAGGAAGGUGGUUAAGUUCGGCGAGUUGGACGUUGUCCCCUACCUGCUGGCCAGGACCAAGGAGGGCUGCCCCGAUGCUCUGUCCUCUUCACAAUCUAAAGCUGGGAGAGGAGGCGGUGGCCACUGUUUUCUUCGGCACUCCUUGGUCUUUUUCGCAUUCAAUUUAUUAGAUUAUAACUGACCUGAAUUCAUUCACAUCAUACUCUUUCAGAUGAGGAAAACAGACCCAAAUUGAAGCAAAUUGAACCAAAUUGAGUUCGCUUAUAUUUAACCAUGCAAUCAUGCAAAAGAUCCACAACAAAGGUUUAGUAUAGUUUUGUUAUUGUACAACUCAACUCAUAUCGAUUCGUUCAACUUUUGGCUAAACUCCUAGGUACGGAAAUGGAAUAUCUGUGAAAUGCCUCAUCUACAAUGCCACCGGUACCAACCUGAGUUUCGUCACCUAGAAGGAUUGGAUUGGCAGUAUCUUUGAUACACCCUACCCAUCGGAUAUUCAGAAUGGACAAUGGGGGGCAUUUCUCCACGUCAAACCAAGAGCAGCUGCUAGAAUGACUAAUCUAUUAAUAACACAUAAAUUUAUAUGCAAUCAAA
rnacentral:lncRNA from 1 species